GCGACUUCGGGCCAGGAGGAACUUGAGCUGCUUGGUGUUGAUGAAGUGGGCCUCCUCCGCAGGCAUGGAUUUCUGGGAGACCGAGGUGGAGAACGCCAUGGCUGUGCAGGUAGUGCAGCCCCUCCACCAGCUGCUGGAUGUAGACCUUGACCUGCGGCAAGGGCCGCUAUUCAGGCGGGAGCCCAGCCCCAGCCUCCCUCUCCACUUUAAGCCCAGCCUCCUCCUGGCUUCGGCAGCUGAUAUGCAAAGCGCUCCUGGGCCCCGUGUGCCCCUAAGCCAGGAGAUCCCUCAAAGGCGGUCCAGCAGCUCCUCGGAUGAGCACCUGGGAUCCCAUCAAGGAAAAGCAGGCUUGGGAGGCUGAAACCUGCCUGUCCCCAGAAACCCACACUCACAGUGAGGCAGCCAGGUCUAUGGAAGGAGUGCAGCUUCCUCCGGUGGCUUUGCUUCUCUGAGUCCGGCUCAUUGUCCCCUAAGGAGUGGGAAGCGGCUGGUAUGGGCAAAGGUGACCACCCUGAUCCCCAUGGAACCCAAUGCUGUGGUGUUGACGGGAGCUGCUCCAUGGACCCAAGACUAUGGAACCACACUCACCCAGGGACAGGGUCCUAUGGACACCAAGUUCACCGCCACUUGCCUCUCCCCAGUGGAGGGUUCUGGCCCCUCUGAGGAGACACGGAGGCUGCCUGGAGGUGGAGGCCUGGGACACAGAAAGGAAAAAACCACAGACCCAUGCUGCAGGCAGGCACUUCCUCCUCCUAGACCCCCCGCGAGCUCAGCCUCGUCCUCCCCGGGAACCUUCGGGAGAGUGUCGCCACCUCCAGGGAGCAGCCAGGCCUGGAUACCCACCCCAGGCCCUGGCUCUGCCACUGAUCACAACCCCCCACCAGGGCUGGCCUCUCCUCAAACCUGGGCACAGCCUAGUGCCAAGCCCUUGCUGAGGACCCCUGCUGCAUCCCCAGUCGCCAGCCAGGAGAGGACACCCGGGCUGCUCUCUACACUGCCAGGGCACCCUCCUCUCCACCCUCCUCACUCCAAGGCAGUCAGCAGGACCCCUGAGCCAGCCUCGGGGCUGGAGGGCUUCGGGUUUUACGCUAAUGGUGCUGGGAUCGUCCGGCCAGAGACAAUGAAGUUGACCCCUGAUGCUGAGAUCCUGAGCCCCACGGGGUCACCACAUCCCCACGUCUGCCAUGACAACAGUCCCAGCUGCCCAGGGCUGGGGAAGGCCUGCCUGGCACCCCGCAUACCAGGAAGGAGCAUGAUUGGCUGUUCUGGCCAUGCCAUGUGCCCCUUCCUGAGGCUCCUGCCAGGCUGACAGGAAACAGCCCAGAGCUGAGGUCUUUGAGCCGGUCAUUCCAACAUUGCAAGCACCACCCAGUCCUCCUGGCUGAAGUUGAGUGAGAACGCCGGAUGCGGGUGCAGAAAGACUGCGUCCAGGGAGCACUGCCCACAGGCCGAGCCGGGGCCUCCCGCAAGAGGAAGGAGGUGCCCUCAAGGCUACGGACCUGGGGUCCCGGUGGUGACGCCCCACGGGGCUCAGGCCUAAAGAGGCCGAGAGGGCCUCGGGGACCCAGUGCAUGCCCCACGCUGAGCAGCACAGGCUGCCCCACCGUGGGCUCCCCGAUCUCUCUCUGGAUCACCGAGACCUCGCAGGGAGGGUCAUCAGGGGCGCCAGGCCCAGGGCCACCACAGUGGAAGGUCUCCCCUUCCCCAGGCACGUAAUCUUCCAGGUCAGCCAGUGUCAGCAUGCGGCCGUUGUGCGUGAGGAUCUUGGGGUCACGAUCCCCAAGGCUGUGUGUGUCCUGGGACUCCUCCGUCACAAAGGCGUCUCCGUCUUCCCCCUCUUCCUCUCCCGCCUCCUCCAUGGUGCCCUCCUCCUCCAGGCUGCCCAUGCCAGAAGCAGCCCAGUCCACACUGCCUCUGGCAUCCACGCGGAAGACAAGGGGCUCUCUGACGCCGACCAUGGCUGUGCCCUGGGCCCAGGCCUCCUGGGCCAGCAGCUUGUUGUUGGAGUUGUUGGAAUUGGGGUCCCCUCCGGGGGUCGCACCGGGCAGUGUGAAGAGAUGCCCCGAUGAGCUCCUGGGCACCUCUGUGGUGGGAGACACACCCUGCGGGCCCAUCUUCUUCACCCGGACUUCAAUGGUCUCCUCCACCUCCACCCACUUGGGCUGGGGCCCCGAGAGUCCGGGCAGAGCUGGAGAGUGGGCCUCGGCCUCCGUCACAUACAGUGUGGGCACCACGGGCUUCUGGCCUGGUUCUGCCUCCGGCCUGCGGGGCUGGCCAGCACCUGGCAGGUACAGCAGGUCGGGGGCCAGUAGGCCUGGCCUCAGCGGGCUGGCAGAGCAGCGGGAAGGUGAGCGGGAGGGGGACUUGCUGGGGGACCGUCGUUGGCCACGUGGGCUCUUCACCACAGUGGUGAUGGUCUCUUCUCUGGGGGAGGGAGGAGAGGGCCCGAGAAAAGAUGGGCACAGCGCCCAGGAUUGCCAGGGCAGCGUGAGAGCUCAGGUUAUUGUACCAGCAAGCCAGCAGUGAGAGUGCACAAAGAACUCUUACACAUGCAUGUGAGCCCAACCUACAGAGUCCCCCACCCCCUGCCACAGAACUAAAGAAACAAAGCACAAGGUCCCAUGUGGCCAAUCUGUCUCUGGUGUGCAGAUCUGAAAACAAGAGGUGAGGUACGUGGGGAGGCCCGUGCCGCACUGCAUAGGCAAGCGCCUCCAAAAACCGGGUCACAUCCUGAUUGCAGUGGCCCCGGUGCCCGUCUCCCCUCCAGGUCCAUCCCACCUUUGUGCUUUGUAUCACGGGGGAUGGUGCGUGGCCAACUCUCAGAGGGCAGGGCCUGCACACCCUGAAAAUCCUCAGCCAGGGACGGGCUGGACAGCUUAUGCCGUGGGGGUGGGGUGGGGGCUGAGCUCAGACCUGUUCUCCUGGCCUUUGGGUCUGAAAGUGUGAGGCCCAGAAAGGCUUUAGGCAGGCCAAGGGAGAAACCUGGCUGAUACGUGGCCCCAGACUUGGCUUGGCCAUGAUGAGCCGUGUGACAUCAGACAAGCCCCUCCUCCUGCCUGGCUCCAUCUCCCAAAAUGGGAUGGGGGAGGAGUGACGGAGGCAGAAUGCAAGGUUGGCUGUACGUGGCUGUGCGUGGGGCACUGGCUGGGAACUUUGCAAGCUCUCUUGUCUGACUCUGCAGUAACCUGGGAGAGGGUCUGAUCCCACUUUAUAGGGGACAGAGAGGGUCAAAGAGGCUGAAAAUCUGCCUGGGGCCAAGAGGGAGAAGCAGAGCAGUCAGCCCAGGUCCUCCUCUGGUGCCCGGUGCCCCUGACCUUGCUGAGCACUGAGAGCAAACUGAGUUAACACGUAGGGAAGCAGAACGUGCUGAGUAACACACAACACAUACCAGUUCCCUGCCUGUUACUCAUUUUGCCCUCAGCCUUGCACUUCCCUCAGGCUCAAGACAAGGGAUGUGGCAUGUAUGAGGUGACAAAGUCGUCACCAAGUGAGCUACUGCCAGCUGUCUGCUUUGUCCAAAGUACUGUCUCUCUCUCAUUUAGUUUUGCUUUCAUCUAACUCAGGGCUCCAUCUGGAAGCAGUUGCUCCCAGGCAUGAGCCCAGAGAUGUGUGACCACCCCUUGGGGUGCACAGCAAUGACAGGUCCUGCCUCCUCCAGCCCUCAGCUAUUAAGGAGGGAGUGAUAUAUUCCACUUAACUGAUGGGGAAGCUGAGGCUCAGAGAUGUGGCCCACUUGUGCCCACAGGCCUGAUUUCCUGCCUCACACCCAGGCUCUAGGGCAGUAGGCUUGUUGCUGACAGCCUGGGCCUAACCCCAUCUGCUCACCUCAUGUUGCCUGAUCUGCUGAUGCAGGGUGGUAAGUUGAGUGCAGCCCAACAGGUGGAUGGGGACUCCUAAAUAUCCCCCAAAUGCUGGACUCACUGCCACCCCCACAAGGACACAUGGGCAUCCUGUACUGAGACUGCAAGCACAGCAUAUGGGGUCUGUCUCCAAGCCCUGUUUCCUUCUCAGGCCUACUGCCUCCCCAGUGCCUCUGCCUGUGUGGUCCACCCUUGGGUUCAGCGCUAUGCCUAUGCAGUUGGCUCCCUCCAAUCCUCAAGCUGAGUGGGUAAAUUACGCUUUGCAGAGUGAGGGUUGCCACCUUCCUAAGCCUGGAACAGACUGGACUUGUAUGCUUGUAAAUCACCUGGUCCUCCUUUCCCUAGGCGUGAGUCGCCUCUGAAGCUUUGCCAGUGGGGCAUUCUGGCUCCAUCUCUGCUCCUCCAUUUUCUUAUCCAUAAAAUGUAGAUAAUAAUAGUGCUCCCAAAGGGACAAAAUGUAGACCUACUCUAUGUGAGGCUCUGGCACCGUUGCAUACCUCCAGGAGUGGGGUGCUCACCAGCAUCCAGGCAGCCCCAUCUAUUGUGGGGUGGCAUCAUAGGAGCAACUUGUUUUAGGGGAGGAGGGAGAAAGCCAAGGAAGGGUUAACCCAGGAUCUCAACAAAUGUCUGGCAAUGGGAUUUUCCCACAAUACGGCCAACUGAAGGCCCCUUGAGAACUAAGAGUUUUCCCAUCCUGGAGCUUCUCAGCCAUCUGGCCUUAGGAAACCACAGUCUUUCCUGCCUCCUGGCUUUUGCAAGCUCUUCCAUCACUCCCGCCUGCACACACCUUCUAUUGGAAGUCCUCUCAGAUUAUUCAGGUCAAAACCAACUCUACAUUUAUGGGUUCACCCAGUUCUGGUCCUCUUGUGUUACCUCAGCAGCAGCAGCAUGUGUGAUUUUCCUAAAUCCUUGAGGCACUGAAGGAUGAAGAAAAGGACAGUGGGUGUGGCACUGGGGAAGUGGCUUCCAGUCAUUAGCCACCCAGAGCUAACCUCCUCUCUUCCCUGAACUUCAGUUUCCCCAUCUUCCAAAUGUGAAAAUCGGGCUUGGGGACCUCUAAGGGCCCUAAGGCUGUGCUGUCCACUAUGAAUGCACUAUGUAAAUUAAAUUCAAAUGAACAAAAA